rnacentral:rRNA from 1 species
GAUGAACGCUGGCGGCGUGCCUAAUACAUGCAAGUCGAGCGAACGGACGAGAAGCUUGCUUCUCUGAUGUUAGCGGCGGACGGGAGAGUAACACGUGGAUAACCUACCUCUAAGACUGGGAUAACUUCGGGAAACCGGAGCUACUACCGGAUAAUAUUUUGAACCGCAUGGUUCAAAAGUGAAAGACGGUCUUGCUGUCACUUAUAGAUGGAUCCGCGCUGCAUUAGCUAGUUGGUAAGGUAACGGCUUACCAAGGCAACGAUGCAUAGCCGACCUGAGAGGGUGAUCGGCCACACGGGAACUGAGACACGGUCCAGACUCCUACGGGAGGCAGCAGUAGGGAAUCUUCCGCAAUGGGGGAAAGCCUGACGGAGCAACGCCGCGUGAGCGAUGGAGGUCUUCGGAUCGUAAAACUCUGUUAUUAGGGAAGAACAUAUGUGUAAGUAACUGUGCACAUCAUGACGGUACCUAAUCAAAAAGCCACGGCUAACUACGUG